GGGGACAGCUCAGUGGUAGAGCACAUGCUUAGCAUGCAUGAGGUCCUGGACUCAAUCCCCAGUGCCUCCU
rnacentral:tRNA from 1 species